UUUCUAUGAUGAUAACUUUGUUCAGUUCUGCUACUGAUUGCAAAUGGUGAUAAUACGACACCUGAGUAAG
ensembl:snoRNA